CCCUUAGAUGUUCUGGGCCGCACGCGCGCUACACUGAUGCAUUCAACGAGCACCCGCUGGGCCGAGAGGUCCGGCUAAUCUUUGAACGUGCAUCGUGCUGGGGAUAGAUGAUUGCAAUUAUUCAUCUUCAACGAGGAAUUCCUAGUAAACGCAAGUCAUCAGCUUGCAUUGAUUACGUCCCUGCCCUUUGUACACACCGCCCGUCGCACCUACCGAUUGAAUGGUCCGGUGAAAUUCUCGGACGCGGACUUGCGAUGUUAAUUCAGAGCUUGACUGUGAAAGUUAAUUAAACCUUACCAUUUAGAGGAAGGUGAAGUCGUAACA
rnacentral:rRNA from 1 species